rnacentral:misc_RNA from 1 species
GAGAAACUUGAUGCCUAUGAGUCUGCAGUUGGCGAUGCAAAUGUGAAGGCUCCUCCUCGCAUUGAAGUGUUCCCUCCAGCCUUCAAAACAAUACCUCGAAAUCCCAUCAUUCUUGACCUUGCCUAUAAUAAUAUUGAUUUCCCAUCACUAGAGAACAGGAUGAAGAAGGACAAGAAAGGCUUCAUAAGUAGGCUUUGGCGAUGAGUUUUAUAGGAGGCGGCAAUAACUUAAAAAACUAGGAAAAUAAAAAAGCAACAGGAAUUCUGAGAUGAGGGAGAAAUGGGGAGAACCAGAAGCUUUGGAGCUUUUCAGAUUAAUAUAAUUGGUUGGCUCUCGGCAUUUUUAUGUGGUAUGGCUGGAAUGCGUUCUACGAAAUUGUUGUAGUCUUGCAGUCUGCAGGGGGUUGGAGAAUUUGAGGAUUGGUGAGAAACAAGACGCAACAUUAGGCUUUUGCUUUGGAGAGCGCUAGAGUGAUGGCUAAAAGCGGCAAGGGAAAGGGGCG